GCUGGGGCUGUAAACCCAAAGCCACUGGACUCUGUAAACCUGCUGGGCAGCAGAGAGGCAGAAGGGGUGAUGAGCGAGAGGCGAGUGGUAGUGGACUUGCCUGCCAGUGCCACCUCCAACAUGCCCCUCCAGAGGCGCAGGCCAUCCUUGAGGGGGACUCGGUCAUCAUCCUCCCUGGAUAGCCCGCCAGCCUCCAGGACCAGUGCUGUGGCUGGCCUCGUUCGAGCACCUGGGGUCUAUGUAGGGACAGCACCCAGUGGGCCCGUAGGUGGCCUGGGUGCCCGUGUAACCCGCCGGGCCCUGGGCAUCAGCAGUGUCUUCCUGCAGGGCCUGAGGAGUUCAGGCCUGGCCAUGGUGCCUGCUCCAGGCUUGGAGAGGGACCAUACUGCUGUUGAGGACCUAGGGAACUGCCUGGUGGAAUAUAUGGCCAAGGUGCACGCCCUCGAGCAAGUCAGCCAGGAGCUGGAAACACAACUGCGGAUGCACCUGGAGAGCAAGGCCAUGCGCUCGGGAGGCUGGGGUGCCCUCCGGGCCUCCUGGGCCAGCAGCUGCCAACAGGUAAGUACCCAGGCCGUGCCCUGGCUUUGCAGAGGCCCGAAGGGGAUGCUGAAGGCAGAGGGUAGGGUAGUGAAUGGUCUGAGGCCAGGGAAACUGACCAUAACCUCUUACGCCUUCAUGCUAAAAAUGCUAAUGACAACCACAGUGGUCACCUUUUACUGA